ensembl:lncRNA
UUUUUUUUUUUUUUUUUUUUUGCUUGCUUGCUUGGUUCUAUAUCAGAAUAACACCCAGAUUCCUGUUUUGGCCAGGCCCCCAUUUGUCCUGUCUGCUUGGGCCACGCUGCCUGCUGGGCACCAAGUGCAGACGCCUGAAGAGAAAUGUAAAACCUCAUGGAAAACACAAGGUCAUUUGCACACAGACGAGUUUCAUGGGUCCAAAGACAGUAUCUCAGACAGAGUGUAGGCACACUCCUGGGUGAAAUGGCCAAAGGGCAGCACCAUGUCCACAACAGUACCACCAGCACAGAGAGCUGGAAAAAUAGGGAAGGCCAAGUAGCUUAAGUUCAGAAAGAAUGCUCCCUCCCAGGUCGCAGAGACAAGCAGCCCCAGGCUGCCACCUGCCCGCCAAAGCCAGGACCCCCAAGUCACAAUUGCAUCACUGAGGCAGCUCCAACGGGGGGCCCAGAGAGGGUCCAAACCCACAGGAAGCACCGCCUAAGUGGCAGGCACCAGAGGCAAGCGAUCUGGGCGAGAGUCGGCAGAGGAGCUGCUGUUCAUUAACCACCGAACAAAAGACCAGGAGACAACGCACUGUUAAUCCUAGCGGCCCCCAGACGACUAUAAAUUGCCAAGCCAAGGCACCAGCAUUUUUCAGACCUCCUCCUUUCUGCCAGAGUGAGAUUGAGGAUGGGUCAAGUUCCUCACCCCCAUCCAAGUCUUUAAAACAUGUAUUACUGAAUCUUUUUGAAGUUCUGACCCUGAAAGAUUUAUACUCUAAAAUAGAUCAGAGAAAAAUACUGUCCUGAAACACUACCACAGGGGCUGCAGCUGAUAGGCACGUUUGUCCACUCCCACAAGAAGGCCAGUGCUCUGUGGCAGGUCAGUGUGGGUUCGAAGUAGCUCUGACCCUUCUGACCUGUGCUCCCUGACCUCUCUGAACCCCUGCCUCCUCAUCUGUGAAAUGGGAGUACCACCUCUUACCUCACGGGACUGCUGUGAAGAUUAAACAAACAAACCAACAACAGCACCAGGCUAGCACUAAAUAAAGGCUAAGGAUUGUUGUCACCAUGAACCCCCUGCACUUUGGAGUUUUAUCUAUGGCCACAAGGAUCAAGGAGAUAAAACCCAAUUUUCUCUAAGUUAAGAAAGGAUCUUUUUGUAUAGGAAAGUAUUUUGGGCAAGCAAUGGAAUUAAAGAGAGUUGGCUUUGAUUUAAGAGACAUUAAACUGGAGUUCCCAUUGUGGCUCAGUGGUUAAUGAAUCCAACUAGGAACCAUGAGGUUGCGAGUUCGAUCCCUGGCCUUGCUCAGUGGGUUAAGGAUCCGGCAUUGCCAUGAGCUGUGGUGUAGGUGGAAGACGCAGCUUGGAUCCUGCGUUGCUAUGGCUCUGGUAUAGGCCAGCGGCUACAGCUCUAAUUAGACCCCUAGCCUGGGAACCUCCAUAUGCCGCAGGAGCACCCCAGAAAAGGCAAAAAGACAAAAAAAAAAAAAGAGAGAGAGAGAGACAUUAAACUUCAGACACACCAUCAUGGGACUCAGACAACCAUUCUGAUUUCCUCCUACUCGGUGGGGGGGCCGGGGGGGUAUGUACUCAGCGAGGGGUCCAGGUCCUUCCACUGCACCGAGAACUCCAGCAACAGCCCACCUCCCAGAAACCCCAAGCACAGAGGCACUGCCUGCUGCCAGCACAAGUCAUGUCCUUGCAUCUUCCUAAAGCUCUGCCCUCAUGAGGUCACAAACCAACUUUAAAAGCCUUCCAAGGUCCUGAGGAGAAUCUGCACUGAAGGCCCAACCUAAAUCCACUCCCCACUCUGAAGGAUCCACCCACCAGCCCUCUGGCCUUCACUUUCAAUGCCCCCCACACACACCACAACCGACUUCUGGCCAUACUAAGUACUGGCAGUUACCCUGACCCUAGAGACGAGAGAGCAGGCUCAAGCCUCAGAGCCCUACCCAGGCAGUGCUGCCCCUAGGAGAGCUGUUCUUUCCUCAUCACACCCAGUGAGUCACCCCAGCUUUCAUCCCAUGUGCAACCAGUAGGUCACUCUGCACGUGGCCCCGCUGUCAGCCCCCAGAGGGAGGGGACCCUGCUGAUUACUUUCGGUCCAUGACCCUGUGACAGCCCAGGUGCUGGUAUGUGGCCUCAUUCAUUCGGCUCUGGCCCCACCACUGAGGACACCCUGUCAAGACAGACACAGUUAAUGCUCUGCUCUCAGGGAGCACAGAGGUGACCAACAAGUAAACAUGUCCAGAGCAUCCACAGCAGAAAAAAGAGAUUCAUGAGAAAGUAUGACGCCAGAGAGCUGGAUACUUUAGGCCAGUAGGUCAGAGGAGGCCUCUCUGAGAAGGUGACACUUAAGAGCUGAGACUUAAAAGAGCAGGAGUUAGAUGGACCACACAGGGGGCACAGCAGGUCCAAGUCUGGCCCAUCCAAUAUGCAGGAGGGAGACCAGUGUGCCUGGAGGUCAGAAGCCAGGGACAGGGCUCAGAGGAGGGCAGAGACCAGACUGUGGGUCCUACAGCCCAUGAAGAAAGAGGAGGCUGGAGUCACCAUGAGGGCAGCGAGCAGCCCCUGGACAGUCGUGAACCUGAAGGCUGCCAUGCUCUGACACACAUCCAUAAAAGGAGCAGCUUGUGCUAUGUGAGGAAUGCAGCCAAAGGACAAGGGUGGGGCAGUGGGCAGGAGAGGAGGGACAAGGUCCAGGACUGUAGGAAUCUGGUGCCAGAAGACAGGAUUCGGCCUCCAGAUCGUGAGGAUAACUAAGGAGAUUCAUUAGACCCAGGUGAGGGCAGCAGAGCUAGGUUCCAACACCUGCCAACAUACUUGACUUUCCAAGCUUCGCUUUCCUCAUGAGAAAAAUGGGGGCCACAAUCCCCCCAUACCGCCACCACUCAGUGCUGUCACACAGAUGCAAGUUUGGAGCAACAGGCCUAGGCUGGAGUUGGCACUUGAAAGCAGCAUCCUUCCCCUCAAAAGAAAAAUGUCACCUUUUUUCUCAUUUCCCUGAGCAGAGGGUGAGAAUCUGACCUACUUAAGGAAGAACAGUGUCAGCCCUAGUUCCACUGCUGUAAUGUGUUCAGGUGAUGUGCUGACCCCUGAAAGAAGACAAGGAGAGUCCCCCCCUCUCAGGGGCAAGAGCAACAUGACAGCCAUGAUGUAUACACAGGAGGAGAGAAAUUCCUCUUUAUUUCUUCUACAACUUACCAAGGACUUGCCCUAUUCUUGGGGGCAUUAUAAUUUGGCACCUGAAACCUUGUAUCCUGUGAAGACACUCCAAGAAUGUACAUGUGGAUGGGGCGGGUGGAGUAAAGGGACCUGGGAAGCAUUGGCUUGGAGCCCAAGCAGGGCCCUGGACCGUGUCACCUCCUAGCAGCCUUUCCAAGUCCCAAUCCCUUCGAUUGUUAAACAGUAACCACCGCAUUUGCCCGGGAGGUAGGAGAUGUCUGGGAAGAGCAAAGCCAGAGUGUGGACGGUCCAGAAACAGUCGUUCAAGGCCACACAGUUGGUGAGCAAGAAAGCCAGGCCUCAGUCCAGCCUCCAGAAGCAUGUCCUUCACCCCCUACAUCUUCCACGGGAAAAGACCAACAACCUGCCUUCUCAUUUUUCUUACCCUUCCACCUGGGCUGGCUCAGAGAAUGAGUCCUGAAAUGUAUCUGGAUGUGACCACAGAAAGCAGUUACAAGGGGACGGGAGAGCAGAGAGAGGACAGGUGCCCCUAAUAAGCAUCUGGUGGCUGAAGUGGGUCUAGAGUAGAAGACUUGAGGUGGGGAGACCGGAGCAGAUCCCUGCUCCCCUUUGAGCCUCCACUUCCUCUCCUGAGAAUGGAGAAGUGACCUCACACGGCCCGCAGCGUGACCACAUGGGAGGUGACAAGGUGAAAGUACUACAGCUGGACCCACUAUGCCCAGCCAUGGGUGCAGCCAUCGACUGGCAGGCCGAUAGAACCAUCUGAUCAAGACACAUCCCACAGGAGCCUGAAGGUGCAGAGAACACUGCUGGAAGAAACAGAAGGAAAUGGAAAGCAGGGAGGUACUUG